AUGAUUCGGGUCUGUGAUUGAAAGGCCAUGCCAGCUACGGGCGAAGGGUCCCACGUAAACCGCCGAAGAGCAGUAGGCGGCGAUCAUGGCGUAGUUUAGAAGUAAGUCCUCGGAGAAACUCCGGUCAAGGCGAGUGUGGGGGCAAAGAUCAGGUCAGCCGGGUCAU
ncrna:unclassified sequences raiA RNA